CAGUAGCCGCGGUAAUACGAAGGGUGCAAGCGUUAAUCGGAAUUACUGGGCGUAAAGCGCGCGUAGGUGGUUUGGUAAGAUGGAUGUGAAAUCCCCGGGCUCAACCUGGGAACUGCAUCCAUAACUGCCUGACUAGAGUACGGUAGAGGGUGGUGGAAUUUCCUGUGUAGCGGUGAAAUGCGUAGAUAUAGGAAGGAACACCAGUGGCGAAGGCGACCACCUGGACUGAUACUGACACUGAGGUGCGAAAGCGUGGGGAGCAAACAGGAUUAGAUACCCCUGUAGUCCCUGUCUCUUAUAA
rnacentral:rRNA from 1 species